UGGGGAAUCUUGCGCAAUGGGCGAAAGCCUGACGCAGCAACGCCGCGUGUGUGAUGAAGGUCUUCGGAUCGUAAAGCACUGUCGGCAGGAACGAAGGUUUACCACGCUAAUAUCUUGGUAGAUUGACGGUACCUGCAAAGGAAGCACCGGCUAACUCUGUGCCAGCAGCCGCGGUAAUACAGAGGGUGCAAGCGUUGUUCGGAAUCAUUGGGCGUAAAGCGCACGUAGGCGGCCUGCUAAGUCGGAUGUGAAAGCCCCAGGCUCAACCUGGGAAGUGCAUUCGAAACUGGCGGGCUUGAAUGUCGGAGAGGGCAGUGGAAUUCCGAGUGUAGAGGUGAAAUUCGUAGAUAUUCGGAGGAACACCAGUGGCGAAGGCGACUGCCUGGACGAACAUUGACGCUGAGGUGCGAAAGCGUGGGGAGCAAACAG
rnacentral:rRNA from 1 species